rnacentral:tRNA from 1 species
GGGGGAUUAGCUCAGCUGGCUAGAGUGCUUGCAUGGCAUGCAAGAGGUCAUCGGUUCGACUCCGUUAUCCUCCACCA